rnacentral:ncRNA from 2 species
GGCUAGCCUGCGGCUGACGGUUCCCCCCAAGCGCAAGCCGAAGGGAUUAAAAGGGAACACGGUGCAGGCGAAGGAUUUGUCCGAAACCGUGGCUGCCCCCGCAACUGUGAGCGGCGAGCCUUCCUCCGAUGAAAACCACUGGGGCGCGUGCCUUGGGAAGGGGGAUGAAGGCGAUGACCCGUGAGCCAGGAGACCUGCCGUCCGACCCUAAUCCAU